rnacentral:rRNA from 1 species
CAGCAGCCGCGGUAAUACGAGGGGGGCAAGCGUUGUUCGGAAUUAUUGGGCGUAAAGGGUGCGUAGGCGGUUUGGCAAGUUUGGUGUGAAAUCUUCGGGCUCAACUCGAAGUCUGCAUCGAAAACUGCCGGGCUUGAGUAUGGGAGAGGUGAGUGGAAUUUCCGGUGUAGCGGUGAAAUGCGUAGAUAUCGGAAGGAACACCUGUGGCGAAAGCGGCUCACUGGACCAUAACUGACGCUGAUGCACGAAAGCUAGGGGAGCAAACAGGAUUAGAUACCCGAGUAGUCCCUGUCUCUUAUAC